GCUGUGUGAGGGGGGGGUCUAUAGGUGUAAGAGGGGUCUAUGGCUGUGUGAAGGGGGUCUAUAGGUGUAAGAGGGGUCUAUGGCUGUGUGAGGGGGGUCUAUAGGUGUAAGAGGGCUCUAUGGCUGUGUGAGGGGGGCAUGCUGUGCCUCGGUGGAUGGAGGGAGCAAGGCAAGCUGUGUCCAGCAUGGUAGAGCUGGUUGGGGUACAAUGUACUUGGUGUCAGCGCUUGUCUGGGGAAAUACCUUCGGUCCAUUAUUCAUUUAUAAUGAAACAGCCCCUGUAAUUGCUGUGUUUGGAGAUGGGGUCAAGUCUGAGCUUGUAUUAAUGCACUGUCAGAGGGCUAGAAUGCAAAGAGGGGAACUCAAUGGGAAAAAGCAUCAGGUAGUACUGUGUGCUUAUAACUGUGGGGCUGGUUGUAUUGGUGUUAGGAAAGGCAGCUGUGUGUUAUAGGAAGGGAUGGAGGAGCUGCUGUGGGCUGCAAGCUGAAUAGCAAUGUCCUGCUGUUAGAGCAGUGAAUGCCAUGCAGGUCUGUAUAGUGCUAAUAGGAUACAGGCAUCCUGCCAUGCUGAGCUGUGCUAAAACGGUGUGUCCAGUGCUGGGCUCCAUGUGAGCAAAAUGUGUGUGAUUUAGAGGAAAAAGGGUAAAAAUAAUGCUCAGUCUUUGAACACAUGACUGUUACAGAGCUGGAGGGAACAGAGCCACAGACGUAAGUCUUCAAAUAGAUAAAAGGAUGCUGCCAUGAGGGAAGGGACGAUUUGUUCUCUCAUGUCCAUUGGGGGUAGUAGGGUGAGGAGCCAUAAGCUAAAGUAGCAGGCAGAUGACUAGGCAACAUGGAGGCUUUUCUUAGAGGUUUUAAGAAUAGAUCAGACAAAUAUUUCUCACAAUGGGUGAAGUACAAUGGAAGGUCUUUCAUUCAGGAAGGAGACUUUGCUUAAUGGGCUCCUAAACCGGUGCUGCUGUGGUUCUUCAGCCCUGAGAUACGUAAUGGCUGCAGCCCUUAUUGGCUUAACGAUAAAACUAGUUCAGCUGCACAGAUUAAGGAUGCUCAACUAGGCCAAGUAACGUUACAUAACGGGAAUGAAAUUGACUUUAAGCAUGGCUUUAUGUUUUCAAAACCAUUUUCAGCAGAUGGGGUGAAAGUAUCUAAAUGAGGAACUCUGCAGAGCUUUUAAGCAUUAAAGGCUUCAUCUUCAGCAUAGCUUUCCAGAGUACGUUCCACCUUUGUUCCUGUGGUAUUGCUGGUGCAAUUUAACUGUGGUAAUCCAGAAAGGAUGCCAAUGUUUUGGAGAUUAAGGCCUUGCAAGCCAAAUCAAACUGAUUGUAAUAAAAGUAGUAUAGUAGUAUGACCUUAGGAUAUACUUGGGGGGGGGGAGGCCAGGAGGAGCUGGGACAUUGUUUUGUAUGCAAGGGCAUACAGUUGGUAACAGCUACUCAAAAAGUAAGAUGCUAUGUAACAAAAGGGUAUUUGCAGAUAACAGUGCUUAGUUUGAGAGGCCUUUGAGAUGUGUGUUAUUCAUCUCACUACUGGAAAACGUAGCAAUUCCUGACACUGAGCAUUAUAUCAUAUCUGAUGCUUAAAAGGGGGACACAUGAAAGGUCAUAUUUUCCUAAUUGCAUCCUCUGCAGUCCUAGAACUGCCAUUUAGGUCACUAUUUAUCAAGAUUGAUUCUCAUCAGAAAUACUCUUGAAUUAUGAUGAGUGUUUGCCUUAAGGUCAGAUGAAGUCACCGAUUGAAAGAACUGCAAAUUCAUGAGUUUAAAGCAUGAUAAGUCCCUGUAUCCAAUUGUCCUGCUUUGUUUUUGUUGGUUAUUUUGCAUCUUAAAACAAUGUUAUGUGUGACAAUUGUUAGAACUUCAUAUAAUUUGUGCAAUGGUUGUGACACAAAAUAAGAAGGAAGGCAGACUGCAUAUUGAUCAGGCUUACUGAGUGGUCUUCUUGCAUACUGGCUUUCUAGGUAAUGAUAAGCUCAAUGCUGACUGCUUUUUCCUUCCUGUCAGAGAAGAUGGGAGCCUCCGUGCUCAAGCUGGUAGGGCUGGGGCUCCAAGUUCCCAUCUUUAGAACUAAGUGUCCAGUGUGCAAUGCUCAGCAGUACCUGCCCUGCUGUUAACCUGCUUUCCAGAGAAAAGAAACAGUGGCAAUAUUUAUUGCUUUUUCUUUUUAGAUUGACAGUGAAAUUGUACCCAGCUGUUUUAAGCACUGCCUCAUUCGAGGCACUCACUAGGAGCCAGCCCUGCUAUUUCCUGAACGUAUCUUCCACAACCAGGAUAAUCUCAUGCCCUGCAGCCUGUGCUCUGCUGCCACAGGAGCUGUGCCCACCUCCCAGGCUGUCAGAGUUUGCUUCUGUGCUUCUCCAUCAUCCUAUUGCAGCACCUUGUGGCAACAGGUUUGAGCAGCAUCCUGGUUUGUUGUUUUGCUGUCACACUGUGAACAAUCUCAAUUAUUAUUAUUUCUAUAUAAUAACCUUUAUUAAGACUUUGCGUUACAGCUAUUAUCAAGAGCUAUUAUUAUUAUAUAUAACGCAAGAGCUUUGCGUUACAGCUAUUAUCAAUAUUUUCAAGAAAUAGCCCAGAUCCCACCUUGUAUCUUAAAGCCCCACACCUGUCAGUGCAGGUAUUUCUCAAGUACUGAUGGUGUCUUCUGUCAUUCAGGGUACACUUGAGGACUCUUAUUUUCAGUUUCUCAGAUCUCAUGCAGAUAGUUCUUCCAUCUGCACAUUGCUGCAUUCCUUCUGUCCUCUCAUGUAUUAACUGUGUAGACAUCUAAAUGAUCUCAAGCCUGUUAGUGCAAUUUUGCUAUAUACCAUGCCCCCCAGAUGAGACAGAAUCUCUCUUAAAGAAAAGCCUUCCUGUGCAAUUUUGGUGCCCGUAAGGUGUCCUUAUUGGUCAUCCCUUUUGGAAGUAGUAGGAUGCUGCUUAUUAGCCCUUUCUUGUUUACUGUUAGUGAAAACGCCCCUUGUACAGUUGCCAUUUCAGACCUUAUCUCCAUGCAUAAACAGGUUUGUGGAGUAUCUAUGUUGAGAACACACCUGUUUUCCUCAUCUUGGUUCCACACCCUUUUCUGCUAUGAUAAAUUCAUGGCAGGUGGCUUCAGACAUGAGCUCCAACUUCAGUGCCUGUUCCUGAGCCACUAACAUGGAGGAAAAGGACUUUGUCACUUGGGUAUCUCCCCAGAAGUGAGCUCUUUUCUUGCUGAGAAAAUCCCUGGUGUGCAUUUUGAGCUGAUUUGGCCAUCCCACCCCUUUCCUCUGUCGUCUAGUUUGUGUUUGGCCUUCCUGUACUUGGAUAGGCUUUGGUUAUCCUUCUAUUCCUAGACCAGCAAAUAUUUAACAAGAGAGAAGUUUGCAUUGGAAAAUAAGUGUCUUAGGAUAUGUCUGCUGUGAUCCUUUCACAAAUUAUCAAGAUGCAUUUACGUGAUGAAGCACUGAGCUUGGACAGGAGAUAUAUACAGCUGCUUCAAUUGAAUUCUCAGUGUUUUCAGUUCUGCAGAAGAACCUGAUGUUUCUGCUUGGAAACACAUAUAGCUCUAUAUCCAGUUACUAAUCUAAAAAGGAACAGCAGUAUAAAUAAUAACACAAGGGAUUUGAAGUGUUGAUAUGGAAUUAUGAGGAUCAGGAAAAGAAAUUGGAAGAUGGAAUCUACCCCAGGAUCUGCAGAUGCUCAUACUCUUGAGUUUUGUUGCAACACAAAAAUAAAGGGCUGCCUUUCUCAAUUGGAUCUAAAUUGAUGGAAGUAAUCCCAGCUGACAUGGGCAGCGCUAGAUCAGACCAUAAACCAGGUGCCAGUAUGCUUGCUUAGUACCUCUGGAAUACUCAAAGAUGUUUGUCUGUGUGGUCUAUCCUUCAUGGAAAUGAACUGCACAAUGUGGUGGAUGUUAAAAUAGCUUCUUAGGUCUAUGCACGGAAUGAAAUGGCAGGAGUUUUGGAGGGCACCCGCUGCUCUGAUUUGUGCUCCUUCCAGCUCUGUCAGUAUCAGGCUGAAGAGCUCUUCCUGCAGCUUUUCUCAUGCUGAUGCCCUCCAGCUAACUGAAAAACAUGGAAUCAAUGUGAGAAGUAACUGAAGCACACACAUCAGCAGCGGGUGUCAGAAGGGCCCAAGGUUUCAGAAGCAUUCUGCAUGGGACCACAGUCCAUUGCAAACACAGCUCAUGUGAGACUGGGAGAAUUGGAGAGAGCAAAGAAAAAUGGAGUAGUUAUUUCUGCCUGAUGAACUUCCUCCAAAGCCUCUUUUCCUUUUGGAGUUGAGUGACUGAGUCAUUCUGAGCUCAGAGAUCUGAAAGUCAGAGUUUGAACUCUGUGGUCUAAUGCCUGCAGACAGGAAAGCAAAACAUCACACGAGUUCUAUGGAUCACACCACCGGUUUGCAGCAGCAGGACAGAAUGUCAAUGGAAAGUUCUUUUACUUUAGAAAGAAUUGGAGAAUCAGUAACGAAGAACUUCUGUUGUGUCUCAUAUCUGCUUUUUCCUCUCGGUUUUAGGCAGAGGUGGGCUCCAGCCCUUUCAAGCAGAAUUUCAAGUCACUGAACUCAUCCUCCAGCACCACUUGGUGAUACUCAGGGCAGCAUUUCCAUGGCCAGGAUGCAGCUUGGUGCUACAGUCCAUCUUUACUCUCAUCAUUUGGCCCAGGGACACCUCAGCACCCAGCGAGUUUGCAUAUUCCUACUGAAGAGAUGGGAAUCCAGUGUUCAUCCUGCAUUCUCUGCUACACCUCCUGCCUCUGGGAGCAGCAAGCCUCCAUUUGCAAGUGCUGUGUUUGCUGCUUUUGUGGAAUUUAUUAAAGAUUUCUUUAAUAAAACAGUUGCUGUUAUUGAUCUGAA